rnacentral:rRNA from 1 species
UACGAGUGCCUCAAGCGUUAUCCGGAAUCAUUGGGCGUAAAGGUUGUGUAGGUGGUUGUAUUAGUCUCUUGUUAAAUUCUUCGGCUUAACCGGGGGGCAUGCAAGGGAAACGUACAACUCGAGGAUGCGAGGGGUCUGCGGAACUCAUAGUGUAGCGGUGAAAUGCGUUGAUAUUAUGGGGAACACCAAAAGCGAAGGCAGCAGACUGGAGCACUCCUGACACUGAAACAAGAAAGCGUGGGUCGCGAAUGGG